GUUAUCUCCGACUUCAAAUCCGCCUCCUCCACACUAUCUCGCUGUCAUCUCCAUCGCAGGGGAGGAACCAUAAGUCGCCUUCGACGGAAAUCUCUUCAUCAUUUCCGAAGAUUUUAACGAUAAUUCACGAUUCUUUACUACUCAGAUUUGUUAGGGUUCAUGUACUACAUCUAUUGAUUGAGUGAUUGUUUGAUUUUGAAAAGCCCAAAUUCCAGUCCAUAGCAAAGUUCAGUGUUUGAUUGGCUCCACUGUCAAUUUUCUUUCUUUACAUGAUGAAACUGUAAAUCUCAGUUUAUGGUUUAGGAGAAACCAUAAAGUAAAAUUGAUAGUUCUGUAACAAGAAUCUGCAAUUUUCAGACAUAAUUAGAAAAGUCCUAUGUUCUUUAUAUUUCUUGUUUAUGUCUGUCUAUAUUGGUGUUUUGUUAAAAAAUGAAGAUUUUGUUUUUAUCAGGUAUUUGAGAAUUAGUUUGUACUAGAUUGAGGACAGAGUUUGUAAAUGAUUUGUGAGUUCUUUGACCAUCAAUGGAGAGAAGGAGAUCACCAAGAAGCAGCAAGAGUUCUGGAACUACAUUUUUCCCUAGAAGCUCGCUUGCCUACGAGAGUUAUAAGUCUGGUUGUAGUAGGAAACUGACAACGAGAAAGUUUAGUGUAAUGAUAUUGUAGAAGAAGAGCAUUCAUGUAAGCAGCAUAAAUGAGAUGAUCUUUAAGCUAUGAAACAGAAGAUGAGAGCUAGUUUAGUUAUUGUAAAUUAUGUUGACUUCACGAGAAAUGUCCGUAUAUGUUGUAUCAGAUGGCUAUUACGUAAGAAUUUGCGGCUUAGUUAGUUGUAAAUUAUGAAAUAUAUAGAACCAAACAAGUUGUAUGUUCGAAUGUAAUUCCGACACAAAAUAAUUCCAAAAGCCAAAUAGAACCAAA